AGAGAUCAUGAACCAAGUGUCUGUCUUUCCCGCUGAAUCACAGCCUGGGAAAAAGGAUGCCCAAGGGUGCCUGAUGGAGCAUAUUUUGUAUAGCAUGCAAUAGUAAAAGUCAUCUUUCAGAGCAAAGUUGCUAUUGAAAAGUUGAGAAAUAUGAAAAAUGGAGGAAAUCAAGCAGGAGCUUACAAUGUAUGAGCCAAAUCAAAAGGAGGAAAGCAUUUAAAAAAAACACUGUUUCUGAGGCCUCAUGUCAAAUGUUGGCUCUACCAAAGAUGUUUUUUUUUUUCAGUUGCUCAUUAAAAAGGAUCCUACUGAAGAGAUCUUGCUCCCUGAGAAAUCAGACAUGCUGUGUGGGCAAACAUAUUAAAAAGAAAAGUAUUUCCAGAAAGAUGUGAAUGCAACAAAACAAUAAAACCUGAAGAGGUUAUUAAAAGCCACCCAGAGAAAUUGGCCACAUGAGGUGUAUUAAAAAAGACUGAGAAGCAAUCAGCAACAAGAAAUCUUCUGGGACACCAAAGCCUAAGACUGAAUGUAAUCCUGAUCACCUGCGAGCCUCUGAUCUCCCUCUCCUGGAGUCCUUGCUAUGUGGAUGAAGACAGCUGAUGGCCUUUACUCUGAUGUUUCUGCAGCUGGAGGCAUUCUCAGUGGGAAGGGCUGGCAGAUUUCAAAACAAGUUUUCCCUAUUCUCCAGUCACAUUUUUUCUCCUAAUUGCAAAGCCAGCAUAGUUUGUUUUGUUGUUUUUUGAAAUAACUGAUUCAGCCAGCCAUUAAAUCUCUUGCUCUCUGUA